rnacentral:rRNA from 1 species
CGUUGUAGCAAUACAAGGCAUACGGCUCAGUAACGCGUAGUCAACCUAACCUAUGGACGGGAAUAACCUCGGGAAACUGAGAAUAAUGCCCGAUAGAACAUUAUGCCUGGAAUGGUUUAUGUUCCAAAUGAUUUAUCGCCAUAGGAUGGGACUGCGGCCUAUCAGUUUGUUGGUGAGGUAAUGGCCCACCAAGACUAUUACAGGUACGGGCUCUGAGAGGAGUAGCCCGGAGAUGGGUACUGAGACACGGAUCCAGGCCCUAUGGGGCGCAGCAGGCGAGAAAACUUUGCAAUGUGCGAAAGCACGACAAGGUUAAUCCGAGUGAUUUCUGCUAAAGAGAUCUUUUGUUAGUCCUAGAAACACUAACGAAUAAGGGGUGGGCAAGUUCUGGUGUCAGCCGCCGCGGUAAAACCAGCACCUCAAGUGGUCAGGAUGAUUAUUGGGCCUAAAGCAUCCGUAGCCGGCUCUGUAAGUUUUCGGUUAAAUCUGUACGCUUAACGUACAGGCUGCCGGGAAUACUGCAGAGCUAGGGAGUGGGAGAGGUAGACGGUACUCGAUAGGAAGUGGUAAAAUGCUUUGAUCUAUCGAUGACCACCUGUGGCGAAGGCGGUCUACCAGAACACGUCCGACGGUGAGGGAUGAAAGCUGGGGGAGCAAACCGGAUUAGAUACCCGGGUAGUCCCAGCUGUAAACUAUGCAAACUCAGUGAUGCAUUGGCUUGUGGCCAAUGCAGUGCUGCAGGGAAGCCGUUAAGUUUGCCGCCUGGGAAGUACGUACGCAAGUAUGAAACUUAAAGGAAUUGGCGGGGGAGC